UGGCCAAUUUGAUUGAUUAAGUUUUAUUUUGGAGUGCUUAAUUUUAAGUUCAUUACAUUUGCUUUACCCCAUGAGUCCGAUCUUGGUGAACCAAGCCAGGAUCUCUCAAGUAUAUCCAUUAGUUGUGGAUUUACAUUAGAUGUAAAUGAACAACUAAAAAUAAAGAGACCUAAAUUAAAUCUCCUCAUAGAUAUUAAGUCAAGCGAUCUUCAGCUGUUGUAGAUAUGUGGGUGCUCUACUGAUGUUGAUUGUUCUCAGCUAGAUAUAGUGGUUUAGUUGCAUUAAAAAAGCAUAAAGAUUGGCUCAGAAAUCUAAAUUGAUUUUAAGUUCCAAGAAGUUGAGCUAACUAGGUUAUCCCUAUGUUACCAAACCAUCUAAUGAUUGACCAAAGGGCAAUCAGUUCAUAGUCAUUGUUUGACAAUAAUUAAAGAC
rnacentral:lncRNA from 1 species